rnacentral:misc_RNA from 1 species
GAUGAAGAACGCAGCGAAAUGCGAUACGUAAUGUGAAUUGCAGAAUUCAGUGAAUCAUCGAAUCUUUGAACGCAUAUUGCGCUCUCUGGUAUUCCGGAGAGCAUGCUUGUUUGAGUAUCAGUAAACACCUCAACUUCCAUAUCUUUUUUGAAAUGGGAGUUGGACUUGAGUGAUCCCAACGCUUUUCCUCACCGAAAAGCGGCGGGUUACUUGAAAUGCAGGUGCAGCUGGACUUUUCUCUGAGCUAUAAGCAUAUCCAUUUAGUCUGCCUAAAAAACAGAUUAUUACCUUUGCUGCAGCUAACAUAAAGGAGAUUAGUUCUUGUGCUGACUGAUGCAGGAUUCACAAAGACAGGCUUCGGCCGACUUUGUAAACUCGAUCUCAAAUCAAGUAAGACUACCCGCUGAACUUAAGCAUAUCAAUAAGCGGAGGA